rnacentral:rRNA from 1 species
GACAGAGGAGCCAAGCGUUGUCCGGAUUGACUGGGCGUAAAGCGCACGCAGGCGGCCGUGCACGUGGGGUGUGAAAGCUGGCGGCUUAACUGCCAGACGCCACCUCAUACGGCACGGCUCGAGCCCGUGAGAGGUCCGCGGAAUUGCCGGUGUAGUGGUGAAAUGCGUAGAGAUCAGGAAGAACAUCGGUGGCGAAGGCGCUCUGCUGGACCAUAACUGACACUCAGGGACGAAAGCUAGGGGAGCGAAUGGG